AUCUUUGGGCCUAUCACUUUUGUCUAUAUUUUUUUUUUUAGCCCAUUUAUCCUUAUUCAAUUGGGCCACUUUUAAUAUAGCCAUUUAUUCUUAAUUCCUAUUGAAUUCCUCCGGCCAACAUAAAUUCCUUCCUCUAAUCCCUUCUACACGUUUCCUUUAUUCAUCAAAACCUCCACCCCUAAAAUAUCUCCAACAACCAAAUAAAUCAAUAUCCAUCAGUUUAAUAUCUCACAUUCACGUCUUCCACAUCCAAGAAAAAUCUGUGAAAAAAACUUACUGCAGUUUUCUCCUUUUCUGUUAAGUGUAAAGGAGAAACUGGGAGAGCUGUUUUUACCUUCUAUUGUGCAAACUUUUUCUUCUUCCCAAAGGGUGAACUUGUGCACGUUGUUGCGGUUGGAACAGGAAGUGUUUGGGGUGUUAAGCUGUUGAGAUUGAGCGCGAUGAACGUGGAGGAUGUUGAGAAGAGUUCAUGGAUUGUUUUGUCAUGAUUAAUAAUUGUUGAAUUUGUCGUGUCUUCAUACUCGGCAUUUUCCGUGUCUUGAACGCUUCCGCCAAGAGUCAUUUUCUUUAGAAUUAUUUAUUCGUGCAGAGUCUAACUCGUUUGAAAGUUGUUUAUUGUACAUUCCUUAUUUCCUUAGAGUUGGUAUUAUUGUUAGGAAAAUAUUAUGACGUUUUCAAGUCAAAUUCAGUUAUUACAUUUUUGGUCAAAUGUGUAUGUUUUUCCCCUUUCUUCCCCGCUUCUUUAAUCCUCCCCUAGUUGCGAUUAACCGUAUUUUCUAUCCUUAGAAAAUGCGGGCGUGACAGAUGUUGUAUGUUGGACAACAUCGAAGCAGCCUUGAUUGGACAUCGACGAAGCGGUCGAUGAUGUUAUUCCCAUUGCAAUUGCACACAAAUUCCGGGAGAGAUUGGCCGAGUAGAGGGCUGAGACAAGUACCGCUCAUGAAGAGGCUGAGCAGAGGAAGAAAAAAAGGCUUAGCAAACAAUAUGUAGUGUGAUUCUUGCAAACAAAAUCAUUUUUGGCUAUUAGUGUAUGAUGACAUUAACUAAUAACAUGUAAUUGAUGUAUA